UACGGUUUUUGCAUCGCAAAUGAAAAGGGAAGUUGGUGAAAAACCAACGCUGUACCCGCAACUGUAAGCUAAGUCCGCACUGCGGACGUUUUUUGAAAACUCCAUACCACUGAUAAUUUCGGGAAGGUGUUCAAAAAAACGCGAGCCAGGAUACCUGCCGUUCAUAGU
rnacentral:ncRNA from 1 species